rnacentral:rRNA from 1 species
UACGGGAGGCAGCAGUGGGGAAUAUUGCACAAUGGGCGAAAGCCUGAUGCAGCUAUGCCGCGUGUAUGAAGAAGGCCUUAGGGUUGUAAAGUACUUUCAUCGGGGAGGAAAAACAAAACUAAUAAUUUUAUUUCUUGACGUUACCCGAAAAAGAAGCACCGGCUAACUCCGUGCCAGCAGCCGCGGUAAUACGGAGGGUGCUAGCGUUAAUCAGAAUUACUGGGCGUAAAGAGCACGUAGGUGGUUUUUUUAAGUCAGAUGUGAAAUCCCCUGGGGCUUAACCUGGAACUGCAUUUUGAAACUGAAAUACUAGAGUAUCGUAGAGGGAGGUAGAAUUCUAGGUGUAGCGGUGAAAUGCGUAGAUAUCUGGAGGAAUACCUGUGGCGAAAGCGGCCUCCUAAACGAAUACUGACACUGAGGUGCGAAAAGCGUGGGGAGCAAACAGGGAUUAGAUACC